rnacentral:rRNA from 1 species
UACAGAGGAGCCAAGCGUUGUCCGGAUUGACUGGGCGUAAAGCGCACGCAGGCGGCAUCGCGCGUGGGGUGUGAAAUCUGGCCGCUUAACGGCCAGGCGCCAUCCCAUACGGCGAGGCUGGAGCGAUGCAGAGGUCGGUGGAAUUGCCGGUGUAGUGGUGAAAUGCGUAGAGAGUCGGCAGGAACACCCAGGGGGAAACCAGCCGACUGGGCCAUGCUGCUGACGCUGA